rnacentral:lncRNA from 1 species
AAAAGGAAAAGAAACAGAAAGCAAGACACUGGAAGGCAAGAAGAAAAAAGAACGAAAAAGUUGAAAAGAAAAAGGAAAGAAAGAAAGGAAAGGAAGAAAGAAACAUAGAAAAUAUAUUUGGUAUACCUUAAAGGUAAGUAAUUUACUUUUCCCUUUCAAAUUCUUGGAAUUCUAUAAAUUUUAUAUACAAAGUUUGUGUAGGGUUUUGCUUCAAAAAAAGAAUGAAGAAAGAAAAAAAAAGGAGGGGGAGAAACGAAAAACAAAGAAAAAGGAAGGAACCAGAAACGGAAGACAAAAGAGAAAAGAAACGAAAACAAAGAAAAAAGAAGGAAA